CAGAAGCCGGCGUUGAGCAUUUAGGCCUGUAGGUGGCAGCAUUGUCAGGUUUUGCAGCCUGGUAAGCCCGAUGCCCAUGAAUGUCACAGCUGUCAAACGUCUGUACACAAGAAGAUAAAAAAUGAAAUUAAUAAAAGGCAGAUCAAC
rnacentral:lncRNA from 1 species